AGCCCAGCGUGGAGCGGCGAGAAGCGCCCAGGUCGGCAAUUCUCCCUCGGGGUCUCUGACGCUGAGCGUUCCUGAAUGACUGGCAGAAACUGGGACUGGAGUGUGAGCACCUGAGGGGCUCUCCAGUGGGGCUUGGAAGCGAGUGCCCCAGUGACUUUUCUUACAAGCUUGAGUGUGACUACAUACCACUCUGAGGCUCCAAGUGAGAUACUGGAAAGACCGUGGAUUUGCAAGCUGACAAUUGAAUGCUGGCUCUAUUGGGGUGGCAUCUUCUGAUCACUCAUGUCAUCAAUUGCUAGAAAAAUGAGAACUCUCCAGAAGAUCAAGUACUGUGCAGUAGUUACCAUGCACAGGCCCCAUUGAGGCCUGGCCUUUGAAGUGCCUUGUUCACCAACCUUAAAGGAAGGUCCCAUGUAACACAGUUUGGAUUAGACAUUACAAAUGGCUUCCAGUUGUAUGGAUUGCUUUCCAGACUUUGUUGUGGGAGCCACCUGAUGAGGAGGGCCGAGUGCAAGUGCAUAAGCAGCUUCCGAUCAGAACUUCUGCAUGGGCUUGGCCCAGCAGAAACUCCGGAAAGUCCUAAAUAUAAACAAUCAGCAGUGGGAGUGAAGAGGCCAGUGUGAUGCUGUGAGGAUGACCCUCCGCAUGGGAAAGGAACUCGGCAACAAGCAGAACAGGUGCCUCAUCAUCGUCCCAUCACUGGGAUCGCUUCAGGAGCAUGGAGUUGGUGAAGGGAGCCACUGCCUCCAGAAGAAAAUGUGUCACUCCAAAGAAAGAUUAGAGAAGGGGAAAGUGACCCCUGAAUAAGAAGAGUCUAUUCAUCUAAAGACCCUCUCCCAGGAACUCUUGGCAGGGAGAGAGUUGGCUUUCCUGCUGCGCCAGUGAUUGAGCUACAAGCAAGAAUGGAAAUUUCCAAUUGCAGCAUCAAGGGCUGCUGUUCUGCUGACUGUCUUGCUCAGCCGGGGUCAUCUGCUUCUCUAAGACAUCAAGGAAUGCCAAGGUCGUAUCUUCGUACCUCACUUCCUGACACAAACAAGUUUUUACUGUUGUCAGCAACAAAGCCCUAAUAUAGCUGUGGAAGAGAAGAACUGCAUUGCAUUUGCCUCCUGCAAGCAUCAUCAACACGGUUACCAGAGGAAUUUAAUUCCAGAAAAGCUUUAAAGCUGGUGUGAUGGUAAUUACGUAUCAAAUGCCUGAUUCUAUUUUUGUUAUUAUUGUUUUGUCAUUUCUGAUCUACCCAAGAACUGGCUGAACUCUCAGAGAGAAAAUCCAGUUUUUCUUUUUGUCUUGGUAAAAUUUAAUAGAAAAACUGAUAGAAAAACUCAUUGCUCUUGGGGAAAAUAAAGUAAGAGCCACGAAAUGUCAUUUUAACAGAGCGUGGGUUUUGUGAGUGUAGGAAAGGAUUUAAGGACGCUCCUUCUGUUCGGUUUCCUAUGUAAUGAGCAAAGGCUACACGCACGCACAGACGCCACAGCUCCCGGAUGCUAUGGCUCCCUUAUCUGGGCUUCUGCAGCGCCAGAAGCCUCUCCGGGAUGCUUCGAGGGGCUCUUGGUGGGUGGUGGUACGAACGCUGCGGCCGCCGACACCGCCAGUCCUGCCGCUGCUGUUGUUGCUGCUGCAGUCACGUGGGAGGCCCUUUAAGUUUCCAUAGAGAGGCCUCUCUGGUGUCACAUGAUGGACAUGAUAUAAUGAAACAACAUUGUGGAGAGGAAAGCAUUAGGGGAGCCCACGGCUACAAAAACAAGUGAGUGAGAAGAGGUGGGAGGAAGAGAAACUACGCCACCUCUCCUGCAGCUGAGCCGCGCGCAGCAGCAGCCCGGGGGAAGUGGGCGACGCCGGGGGGAAGGGAGACCGGGUCCCCAGCCCCAGCCGGGGGACCCCGCCGCCCACUGCCGAGAGAACAACUUUUAGCCGGCAGCCUCAGCCAGCACUGCACCUGUCUCCGAAGCCUCCAUCGUUUCUCGUGAUGGUCAAGGGGAAAUUCUAGAAGAAUAUGCUCUACAAAAUAUACAUGCGCAUCAUUUUCCCCCUUGCGUCUCACGCUGGAGGAAGGAAAGAGAAAGGGAUUUAAGCAGCAGCGUGUCUUCAGCCCCAAGCACCACCAAGCUGCCCUGGAAUGGAACUUCUGCUCAGUUCUUGGAUUGAGGGAUGGAGGAGGAGUUUACUUCAUUCAUUCUCAGGGACUCUUAACUGGUUACUUUUCCUUUAAGAAUAAACUUUGGGUCUUCUAAAGACUUAAAGAAACUAAAUCACUUCCUUCGCUUCUGAAAACCCUUAAGGAAACACAUUUCAGGCCAAAAGAUAAAGUAACUUCGUAACGAAAAAUAAAACCAACUUUGCCUAAAAGUUGAAGGAUUAAAUAUUCCCAUCUGUCAUUUUUGAGAGAUUUGGGCAAUGUAUUUGAUCUCACGUUUUCUAGUUGCUUAAGUGAGAAAAAGAAACACAGAAUUACAUAGUUUCAUGCACUGACAACCGGAAGUAUAUAAACAUCUGCAGAAACCAAACAUUUCCUGGAACUAAACUCAAGCAGAAAUGUAUCACGUGAAUCUUUGUUUAAAGAACCUUGUGAAAAAUAUCUUCAACCACAGUUAUGUAAAAGACCCAGGAGUGCAGCUCGGAGGACUGAGGAGAUUAAAGUGAAGCUUUGAAGCUUUGAAGGAUGCAAACAACAUUUUUCGUGGAAUUCCAAGGGUGAGAAGAAUUUAGGAUAUUUUACCAUCUGGAGUUUCUCUGCCUCACUGGUGAUUUAAACUCAAACCUGCCAGUUUAUGCAAGAUGAUAGAAAGUACCCUGUAACAUCUGAGUUGCAAAAAUAUCUGCCUCUGAGAGCUCAGGAGGAUCUGCUUUGUGGGAGCAAAGGUAGUGAGUCAUACCUGGAAGCUUGCGCCUCUUCAUCCAGUCAGGUCUCCUAGGCAACAGUUUAUGCAGCACUUAAAAGAUGAGGAGUUAAGAGGAGAAAAUGGAAAAAAAAAACAACAGAAGUACUUUUAAUGGAACAGAAUAAACCACUGAACAGGUACCAGAAAUUAUUAGGAGUUGGGUACAACAUAAUUAAACGAGUUAAUAUUUGUGAAGUCCUUAGAAGGUUACCUGGCAUGUUUAAAUAACUGCAUACGUGUUUGCUAUUAUUAAGUUCCUUUAAAUGUACCUUAGCCCAGAACAAAUCAGUAGUACAGCCAAGAACUACCCAACAACAACAACAAAAAACCCUUUUCCCCUAAAGCAAGUGUGAACAUCAUUGGUAAAUGCUGUCAUGGUCUCUGUAUGACUUGUUAUAGUGGUCUGAGAAACUUAAUUUCUUAAUCUCUGAGCCCUCUGAGUGUUUGAAUACCCAUUCAUUUUUGGUUUUGAGCACUCAUUCAUGAUGACUUUUAAGUGUCAGAUCAGUUUCAAUUUUUUGGAAUAAAGCAAGCUUCCUUAAAA